GCCACCUUAGCUCAGUGGUAGAGCAUCGGUUUUGUAAACCGACGGUCGUGAGUUCAAAUCUCACAGGUGGCUCCA
rnacentral:tRNA from 1 species